rnacentral:rRNA from 1 species
CAAGAUGAGAGCUCCUUUUCGAGGGCCGUCCCAGACGAGGACGUCGAUAGGGCGCAGGUGUAAAGGCGGCGACGCCAAAGCCGAGCGCUACUAAUUGCCCGAACCUUU